UCCUCCUCUUCUUCCUCCCCCCCCCUCCCCCCAUCCAUCCACCCUCGACAAGUCCGCCUAAAGCAACCAGUCAACAAGUGUCCCUCCGUGCCAGUCUGAUGGCCCCGCCGCCGACGUCUCGCUCGCUUGUUCCGUGACCCCGUGAGUGCCACCAGUUAUUAUCAAUUACGCUGGCGAUGAUGAUGAUCCUGGGAGGAGCGGAGAGGAGUGCCAUCAGUGUGCCACGCGCGCUCAGAGACACGAGUGCCUCUUCCUUGUGAUCACUGACGCCACCCUCGCCUCCUCUUCCCGUCGGAUUACUUAGGACUGUGAGUUCGCGCUUCGCUGGCAUUGGCACUGCUUCCUCGGCUGUGGCACUGACGCUGGCUCCUCCGGAAGACGAGAGUGAGGACCGUCUACCGUGACCACAGGUGCAGCCCGGACGGCGAGGCGCGUGAACCCCAGUUGGUGUAACCCUUUCGCACAGCACCCCUUCAGGUAAGUCUUCGGGAAACGUGAUUGAUCAGUUAAUCUCUACGUCAAUUUUAUUCAGUUGAUUUUUUGGGAUUAUUUCUUUAUUCAAUUCGAAUUUCUUUCAAUUUUUUUGGGUGUGCUUGCUCUACGGACGAGGGUUGCGCGACCUUGUGAAAUGCAGAGUGAGAGUCGCGUGUAUUUGCAAUGAUUU
rnacentral:lncRNA from 1 species